AGCGAACGCUGGCGGCAGGCCUAACACAUGCAAGUCGAACGAACCUUUCGGGGUUAGUGGCGGACGGGUGAGUAACACGUGGGAACGUGCCUUUAGGUUCGGAAUAACUCAGGGAAACUCGUGCUAAUACCGAAUGUGCCCUUCGGGGGAAAGAUUAAUCGCCUUUAGAGCGGCCCGCGUCUGAUUAGCUAGUUGGUUGAGGUAAUGGCUCACCAAGGCGACGAUCAGUAGCUGGUCUGAGAGGAUGAUCAGCCACAUUGGGACUGAGACACGGCCCAAACUCCUACGGGAGGCAGCAGUGGGGAAUCUUGCGCAAUGGGCGAAAGCCUGACGCAGCCAUGCCGCGUGAAUGAUGAAGGUCUUAGGAUUGUAAAAUUCUUUCACCGGGGACGAUAAUGACGGUACCCGGAGAAGAAGCCCCGGCUAACUUCGUG
rnacentral:rRNA from 1 species